rnacentral:rRNA from 1 species
GCGUUUGCUUCAUCUUUGUUGUAAGUGAUGCACUUUUUCAUUUGCAGGUCAACAUCAGUUUGCUUUGCUGGACAAAACCCCAAGGGAAGGUGGCAGCUUAGGCUGUGUUAUAGCCCUGGGGCGAUACAGUGGAGUGGACUGAGGUUUCGCAGUGUGUGCUCUCGGGCAAGGCUGACUGGGUGCUAUGGGAUCGUUCGGCGUACAAUGCAUGCAUUUUGCGUCGUGUCUUUUUCAUACUCGCUCAACUCGGCUCUUCCACACUUAGGAUGUUGACUUAAUGGUUUUAAACGA